UACGGAGGGUGCAAAGCGUUGUUCGGAAUUACUGGGCGUAAAGCGCGUGUAGGCGGCUAAGUAAGUCGGGCGUGAAAUCCCACGGCCUCAACCGUGGAAGUGCACUCGAAACUGCAUAGCUAGAGUCCUGGAGAGGAAGGUGGAAUGCUUGGUGUAGAGGUGAAAUUCGUAGAUAUCAAGCGGAACACCGGUGGCGAAGGCGGCCUUCUGGACAGUGACUGACGCUGGGACGC
rnacentral:rRNA from 1 species